GGUGCUCUUAUCAGGCAGUGAGUUUUCCUCUACCAUAUUGCUGAAAUCAUUCUUCUGAAAUACAAUCCUUAUCAUGACAUCCUGGAAUUUAAAAUCCUGAAUUUUGAUCUUCCAUCCAUUGCAUGGAUCGCCAAAUGAUGGUCCACGGAACAAACUUGGCCACGACUUGUUUUGGAGAAGAAACCAAAGGCUGAUAUUGUGGAAAUUAUGUAACAUUUAAAUCUCAUUGUCCAAAAAUAAAGUUUUACUGGAACAUAGUAA